GACAGAGGCCUCGAGCGUUUAGGCGGAAUCACUGGGCUUAAAGCGUGUGUAGGCGGAUCGUUAAGUACCUUGUGAAAUCCCACGGCUCAACCGUGGAACGGCUGGGUAUACUGGCGGUCUUGGGCCAUUCAGGGGCGACUGGAACAAGCGGUGGAGCGGUGAAAUGCGUAGAUAUCGCUUGGAACGCCGAAGGUGAAAACAGGUCGCUGGGGAUGUGCCGACGCUGAGACACGAAAGCCAGGGGAGCAAACGGG
rnacentral:rRNA from 1 species